rnacentral:rRNA from 1 species
GAUGAACGCUAGCGGCAGGCUUAAUACAUGCAAGUCGAGGGGCAGCAUGGUGUAGCAAUACACUGAUGGCGACCGGCAAACGGGUGCGGAACACGUACAGAACCUUCCUUCGAGCGGGGAAUAGCCCAGAGAAAUUCGGAUUAAUACCCCAUAGUACAUUAGAGUGGCAUCACUUUGAUGUUAAAGAUUUAUCACUUGAAGAUGGCUGUGCGGCUGAUUAGGGAGUUGGCGGGGUAACGGCCCACCAAGCCUGCGAUCAGUAACUGGUGUGAGGGCACGACCAGUCACACGGGAAGUGAGACACGGGCCCGACUCCGACGGGAGGCAGCAGUAAGGAAUAAUGGUCAAUGGACGCAAGUCUGAACCAGCCAUGCCGAGUGGAGGAGGAAGGUCCUCUGGAUUGUAAACUUCUUUUAUAUGGGACGAAAAAAGGCUUUUCUAGGUCGUCUGACGGUACCAUAUGAAUAAGCACCGGCUAACUCCGUGCCAGCCGCCGCAGUAAAAC